UACGUAGGUGGCAAGCGUUGUCCGGAUUUACUGGGCGUAAAGGGCGCGUAGGCGGCCAGCACAAGUCAGUUGUGAAAUCUCCGAGCUUAACUCGGAAAGGUCAACUGAUACUGUGCGGCUAGAGUGCGGAAGGGGCAACUGGAAUUCUUGGUGUAGCGGUGAAAUGCGUAGAUAUCAAGAGGAACACCUGCGGCGAAGGCGGGUUGCU
rnacentral:rRNA from 1 species